GCAUAUCAAUAAGCGGAGGAAAAAGAAACCAACAGGGAUUGCCUCAGUAACGGCGAGUGAAGCGGCAACAGCUCAAAUUUGAAAUCUGGCUCUUUCAGGGUCCGAGUUGUAAUUUGUAGAAGAUGCUUUGGGUGUGGCCCUGGUCUAAGUUCCUUGGAACAGGACGUCAUAGAGGGUGAGAAUCCCGUAUGUGACUGGGUGUCCACGCCCGUGUAAAGCUCUUUCGACGAGUCGAGUUGUUUGGGAAUGCAGCUCAAAAUGGGUGGUAAAUUUCAUCUAAAGCUAAAUAUUGGCCAGAGACCGAUAGCGCACAAGUAGAGUGAUCGAAAGAUGAAAAGCACUUUGGAAAGAGAGUUAAACAGUACGUGAAAUUGUUGAAAGGGAAGCGCUUGCAAUCAGACUUGCGCGCCGUUGAUCAUCCAGGGUUCUCUCUGGUGCACUCUGCGGCGCUCAGGCCAGCAUCGGUUCGGGUGGUGGGAUAAAGGCCUUGGGAAUGUGACUCCUCUCGGGGAGUGUUAUAGCCCUCGGUGCAAUGCCGCCUACCUGGACCGAGGACCGCGCUUCGGCUAGGAUGCUGGCGUAAUGGUUGUAAGCGACCCGUCUUGAAACACGGACCAAGGAGUCUAACAUCUAUGCGAGUGUUUGGGUGUCAAACCCAUGCGCGUAAUGAAAGUGAACGUUGGUAUGAACCCUUAAGGGUGCAAUAUCGACCGAUCCUGAUGUCUUCGGACGGAUUUGAGUAUGAGCAUAGCUGUUGGGACCCGAAAGAUGGUGAACUAUGCCUGAAUAGGGUGAAGCCAGAGGAAACUCUGGUGGAGGCUCGCAGCGGUUCUGACGUGCAAAUCGAUCGUCAAAUUUGGGUAUAGGGGGCGAAAGACUAAUCGWAACUCAUCUAGUAGCUGGGUUCUGCGAG
rnacentral:rRNA from 1 species